CAGCCGCCGCGGGAAUACGUAGGGUGCAAGCGUUAAUCGGAAUUACUGGGCGUAAAGCGUGCGCAGGCGGUUUGUUAAGACAGAUGUGAAAUCCCCGGGCUCAACCUGGGAACUGCAUUUGUGACUGGCAAGCUAGAGUCUGGCAGAGGGGGGUGGAAUUCCGCGUGUAGCAGUGAAAUGCGUAGAUAUGCGGAGGAACACCGAUGGCGAAGGCAGCCCCCUGGGCCAACACUGACGCUCAUGCACGAAAGCGUGGGGAGCAAACAGGAUUAGAUACCCGCGUAGUCCCUGUCUCUUAUAC
rnacentral:rRNA from 1 species